UACGAAGGGAGCUAGCGUUAUUCGGAAUCACUGGGCGUAAAGCGCACGUAGGCGGAUGUGUCAGUCAGGGGUGAAAUCCCGGGGCUCAACCUCGGAACUGCCUCUGAUACAGCACGUCUCGAGUCCGGAAGAGGUGGGUGGAAUUCCUAGUGUAGAGGUGAAAUUCGUAGAUAUUAGGAAGAACACCGGUGGCGAAGGCGGCCCACUGGUCCGGUACUGACGCUGAGGUGCGAAAGCGUGGGGAGCAAACAGG
rnacentral:rRNA from 1 species